rnacentral:rRNA from 1 species
GACAGAGGAGGCAAGCGUUGUUCGGAAUCAUUGGGCUUAAAGCGCGCGUAGGCGGCCUUGUAAGUGUCUUGUGAAAUCCCACGGCUCACCCGUGGAACUGCAGGUCAAACUGCAAGACUUGAGGUCGGUAGAGGCGCCUGGGACUCUAGGUGGAGCGGUGAAAUGCGUAGAUAUCUAGGGGAACGCCGGAGGCGAAAGCGGGGCGCUGGUCCGAUUCUGACGCUGAUGCCUGAAAGCGUGGGGAGGAAACAGG